AACGAACGCUGGCGGCAGGCUUAACACAUGCAAGUCGAGCGCCUCGCAAGAGGAGCGGCAGACGGGUGAGUAACGCGUGGGAACGUACCCUUAUCUUCGGAAUAGCUCUGGGAAACUGGAAGUAAUACCGAAUGUGCCCUUAGGGGGAAAGAUUUAUCGGAUAAGGAUCGGCCCGCGUUGGAUUAGCUAGUUGGUGGGGUAAAGGCCUACUAAGGCGACGAUCCAUAGCUGGUCUGAGAGGAUGAUCAGCCACAUUGGGACUGAGACACGGCCCAAACUCCUACGGGAGGCAGCAGUGGGGAAUAUUGGACGAUGGGCGCAAGCCUGAUCCAGCCAUGCCGCGUGAGUGAUGAAGGCCUUAGGGUUGUAAAGCUCUUUCACCGGAGAAGAUAAUGACGGUAUCCGGAGAAGAAGCCCCGGCUAACUUCGUG
rnacentral:rRNA from 1 species